CCUACGGGAGGCAGCAGUGAGGAAUAUUGGUCAAUGGACGCAAGUCUGAACCAGCCAUGCCGCGUGCAGGAAGACGGCUCUAUGAGUUGUAAACUGCUUUUGUACGAGGGUAAACGCAGACACGCGUACCUGUCUGAAAGUAUCUUACGAAUAAGGAUCGGCUAACUCCGUGCCAGCAGCCGCGGUAAUACGGAGGAUUCAAGCGUUAUCCGGAUUUAUUGGGUUUAAAGGGUGCGUAGGCGGUCGGAUAAGUUAGUGGUGAAAUCCCGAGGCUCAACUUCGGAAUUGCCUCUGAUACUGUUAGGCUAGAGAGUAGUUGCGGUAGGCGGAAUGUGUGGUGUAGCGGUGAAAUGCUUAGAGAUCAUACAGAACACCGAUUGCGAAGGCAGCUUACCAAGCUACGUCUGACGUUGAGGCACGAAAGCGUGGGGAGCAAACAGGAUUAGAUACCCGAGUAGUC
rnacentral:rRNA from 1 species